rnacentral:rRNA from 1 species
UACGAAGGGGGCUAGCGUUGCUCGGAAUUACUGGGCGUAAAGCGUGCGCAGGCGGUUUGUUAAGUCCGCUGUGAAAUCCCCGAGCUCAACUUGGGAAUUGCAGUGGAUACUGGCAAGCUGGAGUAUGGUAGAGGAAGGUGGAAUUCCCGGUGUAGCAGUGAAAUGCGUAGAGAUCGGGAGGAACACCAGUGGCGAAGGCGGCCUUCUGGACCAAUACUGACGCUCAUGCACGAAAGCGUGGGGAGCAAACAGG